AAAACGGAGAGUUUGAUCCUGGCUCAGAACGAACGCUGGCGGCGUGCCUAAUACAUGCAAGUCGUGCGUGAUCUAGGGGCAACUCUAGUGAAAGCGGCGAACGGGUGAGUAACACGUA
rnacentral:rRNA from 1 species